rnacentral:rRNA from 1 species
GAACGCUGGCGGCAGGCUUAACACAUGCAAGUCGAGCGGGGGGAGGUAGCUUGCUACCUAACCUAGCGGCGGACGGGUGAGUAAUGCUUAGGAAUCUGCCUAUUAGUGGGGGACAACAUUUCGAAAGGGAUGCUAAUACCGCAUACGCCCUAAGGGGGAAAGCAGGGGAUCUUCGGACCUUGCGCUAAUAGAUGAGCCUAAGUCGGAUUAGCUAGUUGGUGGGGUAAAGGCCUACCAAGGCGACGAUCUGUAGCGGGUCUGAGAGGAUGAUCCGCCACACUGGGACUGAG